CCUACGGGAGGCAGCAGUGGGGAAUAUUGCACAAUGGGGGAAACCCUGAUGCAGCGACGCCGCGUGAGUGAAGAAGUAAUUCGUUAUGUAAAGCUCUAUCAGCAGGGAAGAAAAUGACGGUACCUGAGUAAGAAGCCCCGGCUAACUACGUGCCAGCAGCCGCGGUAAUACGUAGGGGGCAAGCGUUAUCCGGAUUUACUGGGUGGAAAGGGAGCGUAGACGGCAUUGCAAGUCUGGAGUGAAAGGCGGGGGCUCAACCCCCGGACUGCUCUGGAAACUGUACGGCUGGAGUGCAGGAGAGGUAAGUGGAAUUCCUAGUGUAGCGGUGAAAUGCGUAGAUAUUAGGAGGAACACCAGUGGCGAAGGCGGCUUACUGGACUGUAACUGACGUUGAGGCUCGAAAGCGUGGGGAGCAAACAGGAUUAGAUACCCCAGUAGUC
rnacentral:rRNA from 1 species